UUUGGUGAGGUAACGGCUCACCAAGGCGACGACGGGUACCUGAUCUGAGAGGAUGAUCAGGCACACUGGAACUGAGACACGGUCCAGACACCUACGGGUGGCAGCAGUCGAGAAUCAUUCGCAAUGGGCGAAAGCCUGACGGUGCGACGCCGCGUGGAGGAUGAAGGCCUUAGGGUCGUAAACUCCUGUCAUCAGAGAGUAAUGUCUCAAGCAGUAACUGGCUUGGGGAGUGAUAGUAUCUGAAGAGGAAGGGACGGCUAACUUCGUGCCAGCAGCCGCGGUAAUACGAAGGUCCCAAGCGUUGUUCGGAUUUACUGGGCGUAAAGCGCCUGUAGGCGGCGCGGUAAGUCAGAUGUGAAAUCCCAGGGCUCAACCCUGGAACUGCAUCCGAUACUGCCGUGCUUGAGUAUUGGAGGGGAGUCUGGAAUUCUCGGUGUAGCAGUGAAAUGCGUAGAUAUCGAGAGGAACACUAGUGGCGAAGGCGAGACUCUGGACAAUAACUGACGCUGAGAGACGGAGGCCAGGGUAGCGAAAAGGAUUAGAUACCCUUGUAGUCCUGGCAGUAAACGGUGCACGCUUGGUGUGGGAGGACUCGACCCCUUCCGUGCCGGAGCUAACGCGUUAAGCGUGCCGCCUGGGGAGUACGGCCGCAAGGCUAAAACUCAAAGAAAUUGACGGGGACCCGCACAAGCGGUGGAGCAUGUGGCUUAAUUCGAUGCAACGCGAAGAACCUUACCUGGGCUUGACAUGCUAGUCAUAGUCUGAUGAAAGUCGGACGUCACUUCGGGUGGACUAGCACAGGUGCUGCAUGGCUGUCGUCAGCUCGUGUCGUGAGAUGUUGGGUUAAGUCCCGCAACGAGCGCAACCCCUGUGAACUGUUGCCAGCGAGUAAUGUCGGGGACUCUGUUCAGACUGCCCAUAUUAAAUGGGAGGAAGGUGGGGACGACGUCAAGUCAGUAUGGCCCUUACGCCCAGGGCUGCACACGUGCUACAAUGCCCAGUACAAUGUGAACCGAUACCGCGAGGUGGAGGAAAUCCUGAAAACUGGGCUCAGUUCGGAUCGCAGACUGCAACUCGUCUGCGCGAAGUCGGAAUCGCUAGUAAAGGCGUAUCAGCUACGACGCCUUGAAUACGUUCCCGGGUCUUGUACACACCGCCCGUCACAUCAUGGAAGCCGGUCGCACCCGAAGUACCUGUGCUAACGU
rnacentral:rRNA from 1 species